UGGGGGGCAAGCGUUGUUCGGAUUUACUGGGCGUAAAGGGCUCGUAGGCGGCCAACUAAGUCGGUUGUGAAAUCCCUCGGCUCAACCGGGGAACUGCGAUCGAUACUGGAUGGCUUGAAGCCGGGAGAGGGAUGCGGAAUUCCAGGUGUAGCGGUGAAAUGCGUAGAUAUCUGGAGGAACACCCGUGGCGAAGGCGGCAUCCUGGACCGGUCUUGACGCUGAGGAGCGAAAGCUAGGGUAGCAAACGGGAUUAGAUACCCCGGGUAGUCCUAGCCCUAAACGAUGAAUGCUUGGUGUGGCGGGUAUCGAUCCCCUGCCGUGCCGCAGCUAACGCGUUAAGCAUUCCGCCUGGGGGAGUACGGUCGCAAGGCUG
rnacentral:rRNA from 1 species